GUCGAGGAUCUUCGGCAAUGGGCGCAAGCCUGACCGAGCGACGCCGCGUGCGCGAUGAAGGCCUUCGGGUUGUAAAGCGCUGUCGAGGGGGAGGAAAGCCGCAAGGUCUGACCUAUCCCUGGAGGAAGCACGGGCUAAGUUCGUGCCAGCAGCCGCGGUAAGACGAACCGUGCGAACGUUGUUCGGAUUCACUGGGCUUAAAGGGCGCGUAGGCGGAUCACCAAGUCCGGGGUGAAAUCUUUCGGCUCAACCGGAAAAGAGCCUUGGAUACUGGUGGUCUGGAGGGAGGUAGGGGCAUGCGGAACUUCCGGUGGAGCGGUGAAAUGCGUAGAUAUCGGAAGGAACGCCGGUGGCGAAAGCGGCGUGCUGGACCUCUUCUGACGCUGAGGCGCGAAAGCCAGGGGAGCAAACGGGAUUAGAAACCCUUGUAGUCC
rnacentral:rRNA from 1 species